CCCGUAACGAGCGCCACCCUUGUCCUUAUUUACCAUCAUGUUAUGGUGGGCACUCUAAUGAGACUGCCGGUGACAAACCGGAGGAAGGUGUGGAUGACUUCUAUUCAUCACGGCCCUUACGGCCAGGGUUACACACGUGCUAUUUGUUCGUUCCAAAAGGUUGCCAACCCGCGCGGUGGAGCUAAUUCCAUUAAACCGAUUGUACUCCUUAUCGCAGUCUGCUACUCUACCGCCUGAAGUUGGAAUCGUUAGUGAUCGUGAAUCAAAAUGUCAUGGUUAAACCUU
rnacentral:rRNA from 1 species